rnacentral:rRNA from 1 species
GACGAACGCUGGCGGCGUGCUUAACACAUGCAAGUCGAACGGAAAGGCCCUGCUUUUGUGGGUUGCUCGAGUGGCGAACGGGUGAUUAACACGUGAUUAACCUGCCCUUGACUUUGGGUUAACUUCAGGAAACUGGGGCUAAUACCGGAUAGGAGCUCCUGCUGCAUGUUGGGGGUUGGAAAGUUUCGGCGGUUGGGGAUGGACUCGCGGCUUAUCAGCUUGUUGGUGGGGUAGUGGCUUACCAAGGCUUUGACGGGUAGCCGGCCUGAGAGGGUGACCGGCCACAUUGGGACUGAGAUACGGCCCAGACUCCUACGGGAGGCAGCAGUGGGGAAUAUUGCACAAUGGGCGGAAGCCUGAUGCAGCAACGCCGCGUGCGGGAUGACGGCCUUCGGGUUGUAAACCGCUUUCGCCUGUGACGAAGCGUGAGUGACGGUAAUGGGUAAAGAAGCACCGGCUAACUACGUG